UACUUGUACCUUUUGCAUCAUGAUUGAGCUAGAAAAUUUGAAGCGAAGAGUCCUUUAGUUUCAACCCCCGAAACCAGACGAGCUACUCCGAGACAGCCUAUUAGGGCCUAACCCGUCUCUGUGGCAAAAGAGUGGGAUGAGCUCCGAGUAGAGGUGACAAGCCUACCGAGCCUGGUUAUAGCUGGUUGCCUAGGAAAUGAAUAGAAGUUCAGCCCCCAAGAUUUCCCACCCACCCCCAUGGCUCAAGAAAACUUAGGAAGUUAGUUAAAGAAGGUCCAGCUUCUUUAAAACAAGACACAACUUUUCCAGGAGACAAAAGAUCAUAUUUAUAGAAGGAACCUUAUUUUAGUGGGCCUAAAAGCAGCCACCUAAACAAAAAGCGUUAAAGCUUAAAUAAGACUUACCCUAUUAUCCCGAUAACUUAUCUUUUACCCUCUUACUACUAGGCUCCUCCAUGCCCCCAUUGAGAAAAUAAUGCUUAUAUGAGUAAUAAGGGGCACAUGACCCCCUCCGCGCACACG
rnacentral:rRNA from 1 species